rnacentral:rRNA from 1 species
GACGAACGCUGGCGGCAUGCCUAACACAUGCAAGUCGAACGGAGUGCAGGAGCUUGCUUCUGUACUUAGUGGCGGACGGGUGAGUAACGCGUGAGCAACCUGCCUUACAGAGGGGGACAACAUUGGGAAACCGAUGCUAAUACCGCAUAAUAUUAUUCGGCCGCAUGGCCGGAUAAUCAAAGAUUUAUCGCUGUAAGAUGGGCUCGCGUCCGAUUAGCUAGUUGGUGAGGUAAAGGCUCACCAAGGCGACGAUCGGUAGCCGGACUGAGAGGUUGAACGGCCACAUUGGGACUGAGAUACGGCCCAGACUCCUACGGGAGGCAGCAGUGGGGGAUAUUGCACAAUGGGCGAAAGCCUGAUGCAGCAAUGCCGCGUGAGGGAAGAAGGUCUUCGGAUUGUAAACCUCUGUUUUUAGUGACGAAACAAAUGACGGUAGCUAAAGAGAAAGCUCCGGCUAACUACGUG